rnacentral:lncRNA from 1 species
GGGUUCCGUUCUGUUCUUGGUUCAAACGCAGACAACCCGAACCGGCAACUAUACCGACGAAGUUCGCAAUUCAGAUUAGUGUUGAAACGGAUUGGAGCACAAAGCCAAGGUUCAAGCACGAUUUGAAAGUCAUUAGUUCCGGAGAAAGCCUGAGUCGACGCCGCAGAAACGGUUGGAUUUUCUUUUUAAAUUUCAUCUUUUGAUUCGGUUUAAUGUUUAGGUUUAGUCUGCUGUAUUUUUGAUAUGGUCAUAUGUUUUGUUUUCAUUUGAUUAUGCUGAUUGCUGUUCUGAUUCUAGGCUGAAUGUGGAUUUACAUUUUAUAACUUCAGCCACUUGCUGUUUUAAUGUUUUGAUUUUGUGGAAAUAAUUGCUGGCUGUUGUUGACUUGUAGUUUGAAGUUUUAUUGUUUGACAGGCUUAUUCUAAUUUUUUUGGUUUGAUUAAUUUCUGUACAAAUUGAAUAGAAAAAACAGGAAAUAUUAAUCCCAACUUUUACGAUUGCUGCUGACAACCAUUGGCUCACGAUUUUAUGUUUACGAUUGUUGAAUUUUUUUUGAUUCAAAUCUGGAUUGAGUUGUUUUGUUGUUAAUAUGACCGGUUAUGCUGUGAAUAAGUUUUGUAAGAAAAGAUUGAUUGGCUGUUUAACUCUUUCUUUAAUUUCAUGGCAUUUCAAAUUCGGCUAAGUAAUUAUGUUAGCAAGAUGUAAUAUUUUGGUUGUGUUUAGAUGGAUUUAGGUUACUUUACUAUGAACAUUUCAUUCUGAUUCUCACUUCAGCAACAUUGAGCGGUCGUAAGAUUUGUAAAGUAUGUAAUCGGUUCUCAAUGGGAUUUCAUUUAGUUAACUUAGUUAUUUAAAUUAAUUAAAGUAUUUCAAUAAUUAAUUUUAAUUAAUUUAAUUAACCAAUUAAAUCAAAUCUUAAUAAGUAAAAAAAUUGGAUUAAUU